UACAGAGGGUGCGAGCGUUGUCCGGAAUCACUGGGCGUAAAGGGCGCGUAGGUGGCCCGACAAGUCUGUGGUGAAAGCUCGACGCUCAACGUCGAGUCGGCCAUAGAUACUGUUGGGCUGGAGCACUGUAGAGGCUCAUGGAAUUCGGGGUGUAGCGGUGGAAUGCGUAGAGAUCCGGAAGAACACCGGUGGCGAAGGCGGUGAGCUGGGCAGUAGCUGACACUGAGGCGCGACAGCGUGGGGAGCAAACAGG
rnacentral:rRNA from 1 species